AUUGAACGCUGGCGGCAGGCCUAACACAUGCAAGUCGAGCGAGCGGCGGACGGGUGAGUAAUGUCUGGGAAACUGCCUGAGGGAGGGGGAUAACUACUGGAAACGGUAGCUAAUACCGCGUACCAUCAGAUGUGGCCCGAUGGGAUUAGCUGGUGGGUGGGGUAAUGGCUUACCUAGGCGACGGUCCCUAGCUGGUCUGAGAGGAUGACCAGCCACACGGGAACUGAGACACGGUCCAGACUCCUACGGGAGGCAGCAGUGGGGAAUAUUGCACAAUGGGCGCAAGCCUGAUGCAGCCAUGCCGCGUGUGUGAAGAAGGCCUUCGGGUUGUAAAGCACUUUCAGCGGGGAGGCGUUACCCGCAGAAGAAGCACCGGCUAACUCCGUGCCAGCAGCCGCGGUAAUUC
rnacentral:rRNA from 1 species